rnacentral:rRNA from 1 species
CCUACGGGAGGCUGCAGUGAGGAAUAUUGGUCAAUGGACGAGAGUCUGAACCAGCCAAGUAGCGUGAAGGAUGACUGCCCUAUGAGUUGUAAACUUCUUUUAUAUGGGAAUAAAAUGUUCCACGUGUGGGAUUUUGUAUGUACCAUAUGAAUAAGGAUCGGCUAACUCCGUGCCAGCAGCCGCGGUAAUACGGAGGAUCCGAGCGUUAUCCGGAUUUAUUGGGUUUAAAGGGAGCGUAGGUGGAUUGUUAAGUCAGUUGUGAAAGUUUGCGGCUCAACCGUCAAAUUGCAGUUGAAACUGGCAGUCUUGAGAAUAGUAGAGGUGGGCGGAAUGCGUGGUGUAGCGGUGAAAUGCUUAGAGAUCACGAAGAACUCCGAUUGCGAAGGCAGUUCACUGGACUGCAACUGACAUUGAGGCUCGAAAGUGUGGGUAUCAAACAGGAUUAGAUACCCGAGUAGUC